GUUGCUUUUGUCUCUAUGUUGUCCAAGGGUUAUGUCGGCCAUGAUCCUAAUAUUAUCAUGGGUUUAGCAGAGUUGUUUAACUUGCAAACUGGAUUGAAGAUUUUGAAUAAAUUUUUGUGUUCUUAAUAUGGUCACAAGUUUGUACUUGUUUAAAACCCUCAAUCAUUUGAAAAUUAUGGCGCCGACAUGGUAGAUGUCCUAGAAAAAACUGGUAGUAACUCAAUGUAGAUACACAUAGUCGAUGGAGUUACUUGCUAAUAACUGGCAAUUAGACAUAUUUGCUUCAAAUGAUGCCUUUAAAGUUUGAAAAGAUUUUUUCUAAUUCAAAUGUCGACUUUUUGUUACAUGAAAAAAGAUACUUAUUUCAACCCCUCGACUAUAUUGAUACACUUAGUAUGUGGAGUUACUUGUCAAUAGCUGGCGGUAAAACUUUUAAACGUAACGUCUUUAAGGGCUGAGAAGGUAAAAAUUAGAAGUCUGCAGACUGCAACGUAAAUCGAUUUUAACACGUUAUGGCUUCUCGAAUAUAUUUAGUUUCCGAUUGAGAAUAAACUGAACUUAUAUAUAAAGUGUUUACAAUUAACUUUUUAAACUAGAAAUACUCCAAAGGAGGUUCUCCAAACGCAAGUUAAGCAAAGUCGAUAGACGUUUAUAUCUUUUAUAUUA